AUUGAACGCUGGCGGCAGGCUUAACACAUGCAAGUCGAACGAGUGGCGGACGGGUGAGUAAUGCUUGGGAAUCUCGCUUAUGGAGGGGGAUAACUACGGGAAACUGUAGCUAAUACCGCGUACCAUAGGAUGAGCCCAAGUGGGAUUAGGUAGUUGGGGAGGUAAAGGCUCACCAAGCCGACGAUCUCUAGCUGCUCUGAGAGGAUGGCCAGCCACACUGGGACUGAGACACGGCCCAGCCUCCUACGGGAGGCAGCAGGGGGGAAGAUUGCACAAGGGGGGCAACCGGAGACAGCCAUGCCGCGUGAAGGAAGAAGGCCUGCGGGUUGUAAAGUUCUUUCAGUGGAGAGGGGUUACCAAAAGAAGAAGCACCGGCUAACUCCGUGCCAGCAGCCGCGGUAAUUC
rnacentral:rRNA from 1 species